rnacentral:rRNA from 1 species
AUUGAACGCUGGCGGCAGGCCUAACACAUGCAAGUCGAACGAGUGGCGGACGGGUGAGUAAUGUCUGGGAAACUGCGUGAUGGAGGGGGAUAACUACUGGAAACGGUAGAUAAUACAGCAUACCAUCAGAUGUGCCCAGAUGGGAUUAGCUCGUGGGUGGGGUAAUGGCUCACCUAGGCGACGCUCCCUAGCUGGUCUGAGAGGAUGACCAGCCACACUGGAACUGAGACACGGUCCAGACUCCUACGGGAGGCAGCAGUGGGGAAUAUUGCACAAUGGGCGAAAGCCUGAUGCAGCCAUGCCGCGUGUAUGAAGAAGGCCUUCGGGUUGUAAAGUACUUUCAGCGGGGAGGCGUUACCCGCAGAAGAAGCACCGGCUAACUCCGUGCCAGCAGCCGCGGUAAUUC